rnacentral:rRNA from 1 species
GGAAAACUCACCAGGUCCAGACGUAGGCAUGAUUGACAGAUUGAUUGUUCUUUCUUGAUUCUACGGGUGGUGGUGCAUGGCCGUUCUUAGUUGGUGGAGUGAUUUGUCUGGUUAAUUCCGUUAACGAACGAGACCUCAGCCUGCUAAAUAGAGUCUGCUUCUCUUUUGAGCAGACAAUUCUUCUUAGAGGGACAGGCGACUCUUGAGCAAUAA